UUUUUUUUUUUUUUUGUAACGGAAGAGGGCACGAAAGAGGGCGUUUCCUCUUCGCGUCGGUGCUUCUUCCCCCAUCGGCUGCAGCAUUUAUUCUCCCAUCUUGGCAGCGUCGUUCCCUCUCCCUCUUCGUUUCCUACGGUUGGUCAUUUUCUUUCCCCUCUCUGCUGCAACAUCUCUCUCCAAUUUUCUUUCAUAUGAUGAUUUAAGGAGGCGGCGCUGCCCUACGAGCCCACUUCCUCUGCAACUCUAACGAGACCUCCGAGGACCUCAUGGACAAGGAAUACCCCUUCGCCUUCAUGCUCGCGAGUGCCUGGUUCGUCAUCACCAUUCUUGCCGAUUGCGUCGUCACGAUCAUGGUCGCGCGUGGGAUGAGGGUUGAGAGAUUUCAAAAAAGGGCAGAGAAGGAUCGGAGGUCAUGGUGAUGGAGGAGCAUUUCAAGAGAGCAAACUUGGUGCUAACAAUGGAAGCUUGAACCGGCAAUCAGAUGCGAGUUUCAAAUAUAUUAUGGUUACAAUUUGCGGCGAAAUAUAUCAAAUUUUCUUAUACCAAAAGCGAUUGAUUUGAUUACAUGUCAGAACGGAUCCAUUGUAUGGUUGGUGUGGAUGAUGCUAGGAUAUUCUCAUCAUCCUCUGGUUAGAAAUCAAAUUCUGGAUUAAGUGAUCCCAUUGAUUAUGUACAGAAUAGUUAAUAGAAGUUGGUUUUUUUGUGGAGGGGCUCAGCUAUUUGAUGACAAGGAGAAGCUGCACGGUUUUACACAAAGUUAUGGCACAAGCUCAAAUGAUUCAACAGAAAGUAAAACUCCAAUCAGAACGAUCCAAGCCAAGCUCUGAGUUAUUAAAGGCGUUCUGCUACUCUUCCAAGUCUUAUAUGAGUUUAUUAUAUUUGAUAUUUAGAAGUUUUUUAAGUAUGUCAAAUUAUUUAUUGUUUAAAGCUGCUGAGAAUUACAGUUGCUUUCGUUUAAUUUUAGCUUUAAAUGCUCUCAUUUUUUUAUUGCUUCAUUCUUCUUUUGCCUAUUAUAUGUAAGUUGCUGUUGAAUUAUAGUUGCUUUCGUUUAAUUUUAGCUUCAAGUGCUCCCA